UGGGGAAUUUUGGACAAUGGGCGAAAGCCUGAUCCAGCAAUGCCGCGUGUGUGAAGAAGGCCUUCGGGUUGUAAAGCACUUUUGUCCGGAAAGAAAUCCUUGGCUCUAAUACAGUCGGGGGAUGACGGUACCGGAAGAAUAAGCACCGGCUAACUACGUGCCAGCAGCCGCGGUAAUACGUAGGGUGCAAGCGUUAAUCGGAAUUACUGGGCGUAAAGCGUGCGCAGGCGGUUUGCUAAGACCGAUGUGAAAUCCCCGGGCUCAACCUGGGAACUGCAUUGGUGACUGGCAGGCUAGAGUAUGGCAGAGGGGGGUAGAAUUCCACGUGUAGCAGUGAAAUGCGUAGAGAUGUGGAGGAAUACCGAUGGCGAAGGCAGCCCCCUGGGCCAAUACUGACGCUCAUGCACGAAAGCGUGGGGGAGCGAACAGGAUUAGAUACCCUGGUAGUCCACGCCCUAAACGAUGUCAACUAGUUGUUGGGGAUUCAUUUCCUUAGUAACGUAGCUAACGCGUGAAGUUGACCGCCUGGGGAGUACGGUCGCAAGAUUAAAACUUAAAGGAAUUGACGGGGUCAUA
rnacentral:rRNA from 1 species